ensembl:misc_RNA 7SK 7SK RNA
GGAUGUGAGGGCGAUCUGGCUGCGACAUCUGUCACCCCAUUGAUCGCCAGAGUUGAUUCGGCUGAUCUGGCUGGCUAGGUGGGUGUCCCCUUCCUCCCUCACUGCUCCAUGUGCAUCCCUCCCGAAGCUGCACGCUUGGUCGAAGAGGACGGCCUUCUCCGAAUAGAAAUGUGUAUUACCAAGUGCCAUGCAGGGAUAACGGUGCCAUUUAUAGUUGAUUCAUUUAUGUGAUUUUUGUACUUUACCCUCAUACAUGCCAAUCAGGUUUUGAAUAUGUAAAUUUAGUACUGUCAUAACAGUUUCUUU